UUUUUUCAUGGCUUUAUUUCACUUUACAUCUCCUAUCAGCAUAAAAGGUGUUUUUAUCAAUAAUAAUCAGACUGAAGAGAAAGAUAUUCACACAUGGAGGGCUUUCAUUUCAAGUCAUAACCAGGUACCUGACUUGUUCUACUAAAUGCAAAUUGGCCUUGAAAAGUGCAUGAAUACUUCGUGUACUGUAUGAAUUAUAUUUAAGGUAAUUUGACGUUUACUUUAGGGAUGCACCAAUCCAAUAUUUGGAUCAGAUAUCAGCUCUGAUAUUGACAAAUUAACCGGAUCGGAUAUCGGAUGAAUGAUGCUGAUCCAGUCUUUUUCUCUUUUAAUUAAUUUUUCUUUUAAUACAUGGAGCUCUUACUUUCUUUUUGCUGUGUGCUAAUGUGCAUU
rnacentral:lncRNA from 1 species